GUGUGUGUGUCUGUGUGUAUGUGUGUGUAUAUGUGUGUGUGUGUGUGUGUGUCUUUUAAGUUUAAACCAAGUGGAUUUCAGUUUUGAAAGUGACAACACAAAUGAGAGAGUCAUGUGACGCUCAUUCUGCUUUCUGAUUGGACAAUCCUCUUGAGAACCAAGCACAAGGACACAUGUUUUUCACUUCAUGUUUUACACAGUGGAGCUUUAAAGAUGAGUAUUGAUAAUAGUGAAAUGUUCAUGUCAUAACUCCCACUGGUGUUGUUUUUACAACACUCCACUCUGAUGUGUAUUUCAGAACGCAAAGCUCAGAGGCACAACACCAAUGUGGCCUCGGUUCAUUAUGAGAACGCCGAUGAACCGUCAGUGAGGAUCAGAAUGUAGAGCACAGCGCCCCCUGCAGCUCUGCACGUGUGGAGCAUCAGGACUUGAGUGUGGGACAAAUGGCUUUGGCUUUGUACAAACUGCUCCAAUAAACUCAUCAUGUCACUGGGA